rnacentral:rRNA from 1 species
ACAUAGGGUGCAAGCGUUGUCCGGAUUUAUUGGGCGUAAAGAGCUCGUAGGCGGUUCAUCACGUCGGAUGUGAAAACUUGGGGCUUAACCCCAAGCCUGCAUCCGAUACGGGUGAACUAGAGAGCAGUAGGGGAGAUUGGAAUUCCUGGUGUAGCGGUGGAAUGCGCAGAUAUCAGGAGGAACACCAGUGGCGAAGGCGGAUCUCUGGGCUGUAUCUGACGCUGAGGAGCGAAAGCGUGGGGAGCAAACAGG